rnacentral:rRNA from 1 species
GAUGAACGCUGGCGGCGUGCUUAACACAUGCAAGUCGAACGGUGAACACGGAGCUUGCUCUGUAGGAUCAGUGGCGAACGGGUGAGUAACACGUGAGCAACCUGCCCCUGACUCUGGGAUAAGCGCUGGAAACGGCGUCUAAUACUGGAUAUGUGACGUGAUCGCAUGGUCUGCGUCUGGAAAGAAUUUCGGUUGGGGAUGGGCUCGCGGCCUAUCAGCUUGUUGGUGAGGUAAUGGCUCACCAAGGCGUCGACGGGUAGCCGGCCUGAGAGGGUGACCGGCCACACUGGGACUGAGACACGGCCCAGACUCCUACGGGAGGCAGCAGUGGGGAAUAUUGCACAAUGGGCGCAAGCCUGAUGCAGCAACGCCGCGUGAGGGAUGACGGCCUUCGGGUUGUAAACCUCUUUUAGCAGGGAAGAAGCGAAAGUGACGGUACCUGCAGAAAAAGCGCCGGCUAACUACGUG